rnacentral:rRNA from 1 species
UACGGAGGGGGCUAGCGUUGUUCGGAAUUACUGGGCGUAAAGCGCACGUAGGCGGCUUUGUAAGUUAGAGGUGAAAGCCCGGGGCUCAACUCCGGAAUUGCCUUUAAGACUGCAUCGCUCGAAUUGUGGAGAGGUAAGUGGAAUUCCGAGUGUAGAGGUGAAAUUCGUAGAUAUUCGGAAGAACACCAGUGGCGAAGGCGACUUACUGGACACAUAUUGACGCUGAGGUG